AACCCCAGGCUGAGCCACUGGCUGAGUGGCACCAUGCAGCUUCAGGCCUCUCUCUCGUUUCUCCUGAUUCUCACUCUCUGCCUAGAGCUUCGAUCAGAACUAUCACAAGACACUAUCACGGAUCUCCUCCCAAAUGUAUGCUCUUUUCCUAUGGAAAAGGGCCCUUGUCAAGCCUACAUGAUUCGAUGGUUUUUCAACUCUGAAACUGGUGAAUGUGAAUUAUUUGCUUACGGAGGCUGCAGAGGCAACAGCAACAACUUUUCGAGGAAAGAAGAAUGUGAGAAAAUGUGCAAGUUCACCUGAUUUUCUAACAAGAACACAGCCUUCCAUGGAUUUGGGAUUGAUCUGAGGGCCAUAGAAGGUUGGAGAGCAGCAGUCACACAACCUACUGAGGACUUCCACAAAAGAGAGAUUGCCUCAUUCCUAGCCCCUGGGCUCCAUUCCACCCACCCCCACUCCCUCUUCCCUUCUCAACAUUUCACAAGAGGGAGCAUUCUCGAUGGCUAUCACCAAUCAGAUAUUUUGUCUUACCAAAAUGUUCUAGAAAUUCCUGAAUUGCUCAACACCUAAAUCACUGGCUUUAAGCUCUGUCUCCUACUCAUGAAACACCAGAACUAUCUGGCCUUGA